rnacentral:rRNA from 1 species
UCGCGAAUCAUUCACAAUGGACGCAAGUCUGAUGAUGCCACGCCGCGUGCGGGAUGAAGGCCCUUUGGGUUGUAAACCGCUGUCAAGGGAGGGGAAACACCUAGUGUUAACAGCGCUAGGCUUGACUGCUCCCUAAAGGAAGCCCCGGCAAAACAUGUGCCAGCAGCCGCGGUAAUACAUGUGGGGCAAGCGUUGUUCGGAAUUACUGGGCAUAAAGGGUGCGUAGGCGGUUUGUUAAGUCACUGGUGAAAGUUUGCGGCCCAACCGUAAAAUUGCCUGUGAUACUGGCGAACUUGAGUGCGUGAGGGGUAGGGGGAACGAGCAGUGUAGCGGUGAAAUGCGUAGAUAUUGCUCGGAAGGCCGGAGCCGAAGGGGCCCUACUGGUACGUAACUGACGCUGAGGCACGAAAGCGUGGGGAGCAAACAGGAUUAGAUACCCUUGUAGUCCCUGAGCGGGCUGGCAAGGCGCAU